rnacentral:lncRNA from 1 species
AAGGUUAUUUCUUAUAAGCACAGAGUCAUACACACAACCAUGUCCAUGCACAGAUAUUAGAAAUCCAUUCAACUGGCAUGGACUGACAGAGAGAAUAAAGACACUGAGCUAGUAGUAGGAGACAGGAAGAGAUGGAGGAGAUGGAGAGGAGGAGAGGAGGACAAGAGAUGGAGAGGAGGAGGAGGAGGAGGAGAGGAGAUGGGGAGGAGGAGAGGAGAUGUGGAGGAGGAGGAGGAGAGGAGAUGGAGAGGAGAUAGGGAGGAGGAGAGGAGAGGAGAUGGGGAGGAGGAGAGGAGAUAGGGAGGAGGAAAGGAGAGGAGAUGGGGAGGAGGAGAGGAGAUGUGGAGGAGGAAAGGAGAGGAGAUGGGGAGGAGGAGAGGAGAUGUGGAGGAGGAGGAGGAGGAGGAGGAGAGGAGAUGGGGAGGAGGAGAGGAGAUAGGGAGUAGAGGAGAUGGGGAGGAGGAGAGGAGAUGUGGAGGAGGAGGAGGAGAGGAGAUGGGGAGGAGGAGAGGAGAUAGGGAGGAGGAAAGGAGAGGAGAUGGGGAGGAGGAGAGGAGAUGUGGAGGAGGAGGAGAUGGGGAGGAGGAGAGGAGAUGGGGAGGAGGAGAGGAGAUAGGGAGUAGAGGAGAUGGGGAGGAGGAGAGGAGAUGAGGAGGAGGAGGAGGAGAGGAGAUGGGGAGGAGGAGAGGAGAUAGGGAUUAGAGGAGAUGGGGAGGAGGAGAGAAGAUGGGGAGGAGGAGAAGAGAUGGGGAGAAGGAGAAGCGAUGGGGAGAAGGAGGAGAGGAGGACAAGAGAUGGAGAGGAGACUAGGAGGAGAGGAGAUGGGGAGGAGGAGAAGAGAUAGGGAGGAGUAGAAGAGAUAGGGAGGAGGAGGAGAGGAGAUGGGGAGGGGGAGGAGAGGAUAGGGAGGAGGAGAGGAGAUGGGAGGAGGAGGAGAGGAGAUUGGGAAGAGGAGAGGAGAUGGGGAGGAGGAAAGGAAAUUGGGAGGAGGAGAGAAGAGAAGAUGGGGAGGAGGAGAAGAGAUAGGGGGAGGGGAGGGGAGAAAGAGAUGGAGAGGUGAGUGAUAGAUGAGAGGAGUAGAGAGAGGCUGGGCCUGUCUGUCUUGUCUGUCUGUCUGUAUCUGUGGCCUGGGGCAGUUCAUGCGGAGGGUGCUAGGGUGCUGCUGACGCUGCAGGGUAUCGUCUGGGCCUGGCUGAUGUGUGUGUGUGUGUGUGUGUGUGUGUGUGUGUGUGUGUGUGCGUGCGUGCGUGUGUGUGUGUGUGUGUGUGUGUGUGUACACGUGCGUUUCCAGGAAGCCUCUGCUUAACUGGUCUGACUGAACAGUGAAUCAGGGGUUCUCUGUAGAGGACAGCCCUUAAGUGUCUUCUUCACACAGGUGCUUUGAACCCAAUAGUGUUGCCUCUCCCAACCCCAUCCUACGCUCACUCCUCUACCUGCCCUCUGCCAGGGUUGUCUAUCAACCCAUUUAUUUGUUCACAUCGGAC